rnacentral:rRNA from 1 species
GAGAGAGAGACAUGCGCGCAUAUCAAUAAGCGGAGGAAAAGAAACUAACUAAGGAUUCCCUCAGUAACGGCGAGUGAAGCGGGAAGAGCUCAAAUUUGAAAUCUUCAAGGGUUCUACCUUUACGAAUUGUAGUUUAAAGAAGUGUUUUCUGUUGGAGUUUUGGUAAAAGUUCUUUGGAAUAGGACAUCAUAGAGGGUGAGAAUCCCGUAUUUGACCAUUAUUUCCAGCUUUGUGAUACACUUUCAAAGAGUCGGAUUGUUUGGGAAUGCAGUCCAAAAUGGGUGGUAAAUUUCAUCUAAAGCUAAAUACUGGCGAGAGACCGAUAGCGAACAAGUACCGUGAGGGAAAGAUGAAAAGAACUUUGAAAAGAGAGUUAAACAGUACGUGAAAUUGUCAAAAGGGAAGCGUUUGACACCAGUGUUGUUUUCUCGAAAAUCAAUUAAAAAAGGCAGGAUUUUGUGUUGUAUUGACUUUAUCAGCUUUCUGCACUCUUUUCUUGUCUUUUUUAAUGCACUUUUCGUUUAACAAGUCAACAUCAAUUUCUUUUGUUGUAAAAGGGUCAUUGGAAGGUGGCUUUCUUUUCGGAGAAAGUGUUUAUAGCCUUUGGCCUCUGCAAUCGGAGAGAUUGAGGUCUGCAGCGUAGAUCCUUCGGGGUUAGAUACAUUUGUGCUAAGUUAUAGCCUUUCAUAGACAACUUGUUGACUAUGAUCAGUCAUGUAGCUUACUCGCUUAUGCUAUUUUACCUACGCUUAGGAUGUUGAUGUGAUACUGCGAGCA